AGUUUAGCAAUUCUAAGUAAGAA
rnacentral:snRNA from 1 species